AUGCAGAAAUCCGUGGCCAAUCGCCCAUGCCCCAAGUUGGCAUUCAAGUUCUUCGGGGCCUUCCCGGUCCUCGCCAAGAUUGGCCCUGCCGCCUACAAGUUGGAUCUACCAGCUGACAGCCGCAUCCACUCGGUCUUUCAUGUGUCACAGCUGAAGCCGUUUACACCCAAUUACACUCCAGUCUUCUCUGAAUUACCUGCUAUCACCGAUCUGACGACAGUCGACACUAUGCCAGUGAAGAUUCUGAACAGAAAGAUGUCGAAGCGCGGCGAUGCACCAGUGAUUCAGAUACAAGUGGCUUGGGACACAACACCACCAGCAACUACAUGGGAAGAUUAUGAGGUGCUCCGGCAGCGCUAUCCACAGGCAGCAAUCUGGGAAGAUGACGCCGCAGAAGAAGAGGCUCGGUCUCAAGAAGGGGAGAAUGUCACAACGGCGAGGUGUGCCACCGCCGUGUGA
rnacentral:rRNA from 1 species